UGCAUUUGUUGACUUUCAGGUAAAGUUAACUCUGUUCUUCUGAAGUGGCAGUUGCUCAACUCAUUCGCACACAUCUUCUGCACGUCCUUCAUCUUUUUAUCUGUUUUUUGAUAAUGAUAAGAUGUCUUUUAUUUUUGUAAGUACAUCUUCAUCCCUAAACUAACACCAUUUUCUUUUUUCUCUUUUGAUUCAUUAUUCCCCUUUUUCAUUGAGCAAAAUCCUUAGCCAGUUAACAAGGAUUGAG
rnacentral:misc_RNA from 1 species